rnacentral:lncRNA from 1 species
AAAAUAUUUAACUUACAAUUAGACAGAGAUAUAUUUUGUAGAGUAUUUUUAAAAUUGUGUUGUAUGCUUUUCCACGUGAUAAGUAGCAGCGUCGAGGUGAAUUUCUUAUUCAUCACCAACGGCACUACUACUUAGUACUUGAAAAAACAAAUUCGAUAUUUUGUUCUUACGUUUCCUUAGUCGUCCUCGUCGUCCAGUUCUUCUCGACUGAUUCUAUUUCAGAAUUGGACGAAAUUAUAUACCCGGGGACUGGAUUAAAGUCCAAAAAUUUUCUAUUGUAUUUAAAUAAACGUUCCUUCGAAAAUUUUCCAAAAUCUGAUAUUUAAUUGUAAACGAAUAUCUUGGAUUCAAAGUCAAAAUAGAACAAAUAGCAUUUAUCUUUUAUGUUAGACCUUUGCGUUGGGAUAACAAGCGUAGAAAAGAUAGUUUGAUUUGUGAACGCAACAACGAGCGUUACUUCAUAUCGCCCAUCGUUACGGUCACAAAUCGAAACAUCUUUAUCGAACUUCAGGAAAUUACAUUGUUCUCCUUUGUUUUCUGAAACAACAAACGAACAAAUAAAAAAAUCAAACGAAAUGAAAAUACAUUCGGAAUAUUUCCGAUACGUUAACGCAAUCGCGUUGAAUCGUGUAAUCGAUGUUGAAUUUCAAAAAUAAACAUACACACAUAUACAAAAGAAGAUGAAGAAAUAAUUAUCAUUAACCGAUAUUUUCUACGAACUUUUAUCUUCAAUCGACAAAAGUUGUUCUCAAAAAAUGUUACAGUUAGAUUUAUUAGAAGAGUAUUCUUUCGCAGAGCAGUAAAAAAAGAAAAGAUGCGAAGAGAAAAAAGUAAGGAAGAGCAUUCAGGAGUCUCAUCAAUCGUUUGAUGGAUUCCUCUAUAAAUUGACAAACAAUAGUAAAUGGUUGGUCUGGUACUAAGCUUGACGGAAGAAGAAGAAGAAGAAGAAGAAGAAGAGAACUAGAAGAAAGAGGGACGGGUUCGCCGAUUAAACGACAAAUAAGCCAGACACGCACUGGCCCUCAUACUUCCAACACUUUAUCUAUAGAAUGUAUAUAACUACUAUUACAUGCUACUCUGUUCUUUUCUCUUUCUUUUUCUCUAACUCCCAAAUGCUUUGGUCAUUUCAUAAUAAUGGCACUUUAUAUGCGAGCAACUACCACCCUCUAUAGGUUUUCCCAUGCGGGCCCACUUUAUCCAUUUUAAAGGAACAACUAAUUUUAUUGAUAUACAAUCGUCCAUUUUUUGUCCUCCUUGCCUCUUCUAUGUUUUCUUCUUCUUUCACCGCACUGUAUGCAUUUGUAUUUGAUAUUCUUCGCUCAUCGAAACGAAUAAAUCUUUAAUCCUCUUAUUAUUCACAUAACGACUCUCAUUCUUGUACUUAUAUCAAAUUCACUUAAUGAAUCAAACCGUCGAACUUUACUACACCAGAAUAAAUCUCGAAGUGUUAAGGAAUAAAUGAAAUAGUUCGAUGAACAAAUGAAUGUCCAGCUAGUCAACGACGGUGGCAACGAUGACGACGAUGACGACGACGAUGACGACGACGACGACGAUGAUAACGAGGACGAGAUGGUGAUUGAUUAUAUUUCAUCCUUCGUACACUUGUUGAAUUUUCCUCGAUUCGUCUCUCGAAAAAAAAAUCAAUUAGCAAAGUAGAUAUGUUGGCAGUAUAACCCAGAAUGGAAUACGCCUUUAGAAAUUGAGCUACUGGCAAACGUACGUAACUAAGUAGUUACACAUGCACAGGUGUUUUUUCUGAUCACGUGUGCCACAUAUGCAUAUUUCUCUCGACCAACAUUGCUCUCAAGAGAGAGGAUCGUGAUCGCCCUUUGACGAAUGUGAAAUAAAAAAAUAGACUGACAAAAAAGAAUUGGAAAAAUAAUCCAACAGUAGAAUGCGGUGCGUAGGCCCACGCCGGAUACUCGGAGAAUGAAUCUCAUCCAACGAGAGGAAGUUCGAAUUAACUCGAGCCACUGCCAAGGGGGUACGACGUCGUGUACCCCGAUGUGCUACCCAUAAACUCUUGACCUAUUUUUUUUUCUUGGCACCUUUCCACGCGCUAUCGGACUCUCCGGUCAUUGAACGUGAUGUUCCAUCAUUGAUAAUUCUUUUAUGUUGUUUUUUGUUAGUUUAUUUAUUUAAUCGUUUAUAAAUUAUACAUUGUUUUUAAUAAUUAUAUGAAAGAACGUUUGAGAGUACAAAGAUAUCAUGCGCGAAAUGAGAGAUUAAUCUUAUUUAAGAAAUAUUUCUUUUCGAGAAAAAGAAAAAAAAACAAUAGAGUCGUGGAACUAAUUGGUCAGUUAAUAUAAUGAUAAUUGUAAUAUGUAAUAUAUAUAUUAUAAAAGUCAUUAAGUACCUAGAAUUAAUAAGAUCGUAAAGCUCGGAAGUGUAGAAUGUGGUAGAUGGUUAAGACUUAUUACAAUCGUUUGACCUUUCUACUAACACCGUAUCUCAACUUUGAUGGGUUUACAUUGUACGAGAGAAAGAGAGAGAAGGAAAUGGUAUAGCGAAAAAAAGGAGAAAGGAGAAGGGAGAUAAAAGAAUUUGAAAUGAAAUUGAACGUACAGAGAAGAGGACAAAAUUAUGAGAAAUUAUUGUGUCGUUUUACUGAAAUCAACAGUACUCAAACAUAAUACUCGAUUGAUCGAUAUUUCGAUAAGCGUAGAUGACAAAAUGAAAAAAGAAACGAUCCUAUCUAUUAUUUGCCGAACUAAUUAUUGUUCUCGGUUUAAAAUAAAUGAGUCAGUGUAUGAUUAAUGAUAAUUUUAAUCGUGAUAUGUUUAAAUAUUUUUGAUAUCGUUCUCUUGACGCAUUAUUAUAAUGAAGCGAUACGAUUACUAUAUCAAAAUUCACCGUAGAUUGUUUUAUGUAUUUAAAUAUAUUUAUGUAUAUUGCAUAGAUAAAUUUGAUUUAUUCAUAAUCACAUUUAAUAAAAAAUAUUUUUAUAGUUUUAUAAAUAAUUAUGUACAAAUUAUAAGAAGUCAAUACUAUUAUAAUAGACGAGGUAAUUAUGCUUUUUCACAUAUGAUGUCCACCACGGUUGCUACCAUAAGCACCGGAUCUAAACAUCUGUGAACUGCGCUUUCAAGAAUUUCGUCCAAAAGAAAGUGAACGACGCUGAAAAA